rnacentral:rRNA from 1 species
AUGUUUAUUUCUCAGGGUCUGAAAGAACUCGUACAAAAUGAGACGGUGCCCUGCCCCAUUGACAUAGCUAAUAACGCCAUUGACGAUCACCUAGCCAAGAGGCUCACCGAACUGUGUGGUUCUGAGAACAAAUUAGUUGUGGGAAGUGCUGAAUAUAAAAGAAUAAUUGAAAUGAACCUGAGAAUACCCUGUCUUUAUGUUGAUGUUCCGGAUUGUGAGGUCAUAAUUUGGAGUCAGAUGAAUCCCAUGCGUGCUUUAAUUGGUUUCCCGACAGGAGACAUGGCUAUUAUGCUGCUAUAUGAAGCGCCUCUGGCAUCGCAAUUUUCUCUUUUGAUGGGGACUACCUCAAUGAUCCAGCAAAGGACUUUUGAGAAUGCUUGCCACCGCUUAGUCUGA